UACGAAGGGUGCAAACGUUGCUCGGAAUUAUUGGGCGUAAAGCGCACGUAGGCGGCAUUGCAAGUCGGAUGUGAAAUCCCUCGGCUUAACCAAGGAAGUGCAUCCGAAACUGCAGUGCUUGAGUACGAAAGAGGAUCGCGGAAUUCCCGGUGUAGAGGUGAAAUUCGUAGAUAUCGGGAGGAACACCAGUGGCGAAGGCGGCGAUCUGGGUCGAUACUGACGCUGAGGUGCGAAAGCGUGGGGAGCAAACAGG
rnacentral:rRNA from 1 species